rnacentral:rRNA from 1 species
GACGUAGGUGGCGAACGUUAUCCGGAAUUAUUGGGCGUAAAGGGUGCGUAGGCGGCAUGAUAAGUUAUUGGCGGCAAAUCGAGGCUCAACCUCGUGGAAACUGAUAAUACUGUCUUGCUUGAGUGCAGAAGAGGUUAACGGAACUCCAUGUGGAGCGGUAAAAAUGUGUAGAUAUAUGGAAGAACAUCAAUAACGGCGAAGGCAGUUAACUAUUCUGUUACUGACGUUGAGGCACGAAAGCGUGGGGAGCAAAAAGGAGUUAGAAUUACCCGUGU